rnacentral:rRNA from 1 species
AGAGUUUGAUCAUGGCUCAGGAUGAACGCUAGCGACAGGCCUAACACAUGCAAGUCGAGGGGCAUCGGGACGUAGCAAUACGUUGCCGGCGACCGGCGGAUGGGUGAGUAACGCGUAUGCAACCUACCCGCAGCAGGGGGAUAGCCCGUUGAAAGACGGAUUAAUACCCCGUAACACAGGGGCUCCGCAUGGAGAUUAUUGUUAAAGGGUCAUUUCUUUUUCAGGGAUGGUCCGGCUGCGGAUGGGCAUGCGUUCCAUUAGGUAGUUGGUGUAGGUAAUGGCUCACCAAGCCGACGAUGGAUAGGGGAACUGAGAGGUUGGUCCCCCACACUGGUACUGAGACACGGACCAGACUCCUACGGGAGGCAGCAGUGAGGAAUUUUGGUCAAUGGACGCAAGUCUGAACCAGCCAUGUCGCGUGAAGGAGGACGGCCCUAAGGGUUGUAAACUUCUUUUGCAGUGGAAUAAAGUUUGCCACGUGUUGGCGAUUUGCAAGUACGCUGCGAAUAAGGAUCGGCUAACUCCGUGCCAGCAGCCGCGGUAAUACGGAGGAUCCAGGCGUUAUCCGGAUUUAUUGGGUUUAAAGGGUGCGCAGGCGGGGAAUUAGGUCGGCGGUGAAAUUUCGGGGCUCAACCUCGACAGUGCCGUUGAAACCGUUUCUCUUGAGUGCGGAUGAGGUAGGCGGAAUUUGUGGUGUAGCGGUGAAAUGCGUAGAUAUCACACAGAACACCAGAGGCGAAAGCGGAGUACUAGACCAUAGUUGACGCUGAGCACGAAAGCGUGGGAUCAACAGGAUUAGAUACCCUGUAGUCCACGCCCUAACGAUGAUCACUAGAUAUG